UUCGUUUGAGAUAUUUGUGAGUUGCGCCUAAAACAAGAAAUCCACGAGUGUGUAUUGGGUUGGCAAUGGCACCUAAGGUGCAGUGUGGGGGCACAAAUGUCGUUAAGGUAGUCUGCAAUCUGGUUUUAGAAUAAAUCCCGUGCAAAGUGGGACCUGUUAGAUUAAGUUUAAGUUCGUCCGUUUAGCCGUCAUUCUCAUUAAUAACAUUGCAAGAAGGCGUGGGAAUGCUUCAGUAUACAUUUUACAGUCUCUAGAAUGGAGGGAGAGCAGGGGAAAAUAGGCAAUUCAAUUCCAAAGAAAGUAGGAUACCCAAAUCCACCCGACCCACAUAAUCCGGAUGCUGCGACCCUGAGAGAGCAGUGGAAAUUUGCAGUGAGGCAGUACAGCAAGUGGUAUUCUCAUGCCUGGGGCACUGCCAUUUUUGCUGGCGCUUCCUUGUUUGCACUAGGCUGGUAUAUCAAGGGCGGCAAUCCCCUUGAUACGUCCUCCACUGACGGCGACCCUCCCGACAAACAAUCUCGCCCUUCCACCUCCUGACCUCUUCUCACUGCACGAAGAUGAAUCCUGGAGUAUGUUCAUGGAUCAUUUAGAACUGUCGUGUCGUCCUCUUAUAUUCUUCUUUCUAUGUUUGAAUACCCCUUCGUUUUUCUUUCAUGAUGAUAAAAUUGUUAACAGAGCCCGCACCUUCAAGUGACAAGGUUGCUGUCUUCAUUUUUCCUUUGGAGGAUCUACAGCAGAAACAGUCUGAGCUUGUCAGCAGUUUUUAACGGGUCUUUUAGAAGAAUCGUUUGUAUAGGUGAUGAGACAAUUAAAAUUGUAGUCCAACAUACUUUGAAAUAGAGUCAGGUAACUUGUAUAUUGAAUAUCUGAACUAAGUCUCUGUUCAUAUUUUGUAUUGAGUUUCUCUUCACACAAGCAUUUGGUACAAAUAGAAAUACGUUCUUGUA